CGCCUCCUGGUACUAGACUCUUGAGCAAUUCCGUACGUUUUCUCACUCUCAUUUUCUCCCCAAAAAUUCCAUUUCGUGUAAUAGUAGUACAACGAUUCUUCAUCCGGUUCCGAGCUUUCUUGAGUAUUCUAUGAGCCACGGGUUUGCAGGUUGUCGUGUACUUUCUGGUCCUAGAGAUGAGAGCACGGCUCCAUAUGGUUGCGCCGCUUCUUGUGGCUGCCAUCGCUAUGUCCGAUGAUAGUCUUAUCACGUUUUUCCUCUCGGUUACGUUCAUGGGGUGUUCAACGGAAGAAUCUAACAUGUGGAGAGUCGUUAUCCAUUUCUUGAUAAAUUCUUGCUUUACCAUGUUAUACGUGUUCAUCCUAAUAUAUUUAAACAAAAAUUAAUGGAUGCUAUAUUGUAUAAUAAUGAAUUCAUCAGCAUAUUAAAGGAUUUAUCCUCUAUACUGCACCUAGCUUCGUCGGAAUAUUUCAUUUGACAUACUUUUGAUUAUGACCGGUCAUACCUUAAUGUAAGCAAUAAAUACUUACCUUACGCUUGUUUCUGUUUUUGAAUAUAGCUCUCCUUCUCCAAAUCCGUAGCAGCUAGAGAACCUCGACGAAAUCAGACUGGGACUCAGGUCGGAUCUCGAUAUCACACGACUCGUCGACGAUAUCGAACGAAUCGAUCUGCUGACGAACGAGACCUUUCUCUACUAAGUAGGCUGAUAUAACGGUCCAUGCGUCCUCCUGUGUAAUCUCCUCGUCGUGAUCAAUGUAAGGCUGGUCCUGUUCGUACUCCAUCUUUGAUCUCCUCUCGUUGAAGAUUGAAGAACAGAGCAGAGAGGGAGAAAGAGAGAAAAGAGAGAGCGCGACUUUGUGGAGAUGAUCUCGAUCUCUCAUUCAAGUGGAUCUUUAGAAGAGAGGAUUUUCAGAACAACUAUUCAAGGAAGAUACUUGAUCUUCGAUGAUGAAGGUCAGCAACUUCCACUCCAAUGAAAGAUUCAAUUGUUACAGCUUUUAAUCUCUCUUUCUGACAAGAGAUUUAGAUAGAAAGACUGGUUCUGUUAAAGCAUGAAUGAUGAUUCUUUGUUGUAGGCAAUGUGUGUGAUGCUCUGUCUUUGGAUUCUCGAACCCGUUGUUGCCCGUUGAAAGGAGAAAGAUUCUCUUGUCAGUAAGUCAUUUUAGGAGGAUCAUAACCUUUGAUUGAGGCAAUAAUCUCCUGCAAGUCUUGUAUAGAUUGAUGUGUUCUUAACCAGACAAGUUUGAUUCUGACUUUGUUGUUUUGCUUGAGUGUAUAUUUUGCAUUUGCAAAAUCACCAAUCUUUUAUCUUUUUCAGGGACAUACAUGACUGUAUUUGAUUUUUGUGCCGGGAGAUGUCGCCAUAGUUCCGAGAGUGUGGUAAGCGAUUCACUCUUCAUAUUUUUUUUCUUUUGCAAGUUUCUUGGGGUUAUGUCAGUGAAGAAAAUUAGUGUGCAAGUGAGUUUUUUGUUUGAAACUGAUGGGAUGCUUAUGAAAGUGUAAUGAUUAUGACCUGAAACUUACAUGUUCAUGAAAAUGCAUACCACAUCAAGUUUCACCAUUGUUUUUCUCUGACUUCAAAUGCGCCAGGUUAACUUUUGUUAGCUUACUCUUUCGUUCAACUAUUGUUUAAACUUCAAAUGUUAAAAUACAUUUUACAUUCGUUAAAUAACUGAAUCAGGUGCUAAUUUUACACAAGUCGAAACAAGACUUCUUAGCAUUGAACCUAUUCUCAUCAAGUAAGUCUCACCAACGUUAACCUUGUUGUUGUUCGACAUUGUCUUUGGGUCUGAUGUGUUUUGUAUAUUGUGCAUAUGAACCUAUUCUCAUGCUUUUCUUUCAUGUUUGUUUAAAAUUUGUAAUUAUAAAUUUAUAUUUCUAUUUUUAACAUGUUCUUAUGUCAUAUUUGUUUAAAUUUUAUGAAAUCCAAUCAUUUAUAAGUUUUGUAAAAUUUAAAUUUAAUAAUUCAACUUCUUUAAAAAAAAAAAUUUAAGAACCUCAAAGGGAUUCUCCCAUUGGACCUUGAAAAAACUAAUUACAUUAACAAAGGUUCUAAAUUUUAUAAAGUACACAACUAACCAUUAAAUUAAUCAUUAGAACCCAUCAAAAGUUCUAACCAUUGGACAUGCUCUUAUGUUCCAUAUUCUCGCCAUCCUCACAGUUUUUUUAUAUAUAACGCCUUGUAUCAAAAUAUGUCUGGAGUGUAAGAUAUGAUGAAGGUGGUGAAGUGCAAGAAGGUCAAGCACCUGGUCGUAGGGGACGAAAGUGGAAACCGAGGUUCCUUGAAACUUUUAUGCGAAGAAACCUAGGGAUUCUUCGUAGGACUAUAUACCAGGUUGUGAAGAAGUAGAAGAGGAGGAAGCCUUGAUCCUCAAGUCAAUUCAACAUCUCAAGCUUCUCAAAUCUCAGGUUACUUUACUUAGAAAGCUAGCUGAUGUUUGUGGAGUCUAGAAGAACGUAAGUUCUCAAGUUUUUAUUCAUCAUAUUAUAACAACAAAGGAGGAGGUAAAAUAAAAAUGCAAAUUAAAUAUAGAUAUUGAAGAACAAGUGUAAAAAAAUUCAGUUUUUGUUGUUGAAAGUGAGAUCGUAUUUUGAACGGAAGGAAGAAGAGGAGAGAGCGAGCAUGUGUUGGAUCGUUGCGAUCCAUGUCUUGUAACGACUGUAAUCAUCAGCCAUGUCUAGUUUCAUAGCUCCUCUGUUUGUCUUCAGGACAAUGAGAUAACAAGUGUCUUCUAUGUUGUUGUUUUCGCUCUCCGAGUCUUUAUAAAGUUCCACAUGAACAUUCGUCACAACACCUAAUUAGCACACAGCAAAAAAAAAAAAAAAAGGAUUAAGUUAGGUUAAAACACAAGGGAUUAAGAAGCUAGGUCAUUACAUUCUUUCUUAGUCCUGAGUAAGUUAUGUUUCUUCAUUUUAAGAAUCACCUGUGGAAAACAAACCCAAUAUCAUUGAUUAUUGACCAUUAUUGGUUAAUAGAUAUGAGUAUUAGAGCAAAAUUCAGACCUUCCCUUCCUUGUUUAAGACUAUAGACACUGUCCUAGCCUUGAAGUCCCCUGCUCCAAUCCAAACAUAGCCAUAUCUAUUUAGUUUCUCCAUCAAACAGAAGAGUAAACUAUCAAAGAUAAAGGAUUUUUGUACCAUCUGGUGUCUCAACAAAGAGAUCGGUUCCUUGAGAAAGAAGGUAUCUGUUCUUGUCAAAUUCAGGAGGCAACUCAGAAGAUUCUUCAAUAGGUAACACAGGCGCAGAGCCGCUCAAUCUAUUGAUAUUGCAACUUCUUCUUGCUUUUAGCGUCGCAGCACCUUUCAAAGCUUGUUUACCCAAAAAAAAAAAAGACUUAGAAACAGAACUUCCUUCUAGAAACACAUAUAACAAAGCCCUAAACCUUCUUCUUACAAGUUGUAGCUGAGGCAGUGAGAGCGAGUAUCUCACUGACACUUGUCCCAGUCAUGGCCGAACCAAUCAUUGUACUGAGCUGGUCUCUGUUUGCUCCCAUUGUCUCUGCCAUCUGAGCACACUGCGCUGCCACCACAGCGGCCGCAGACGCCACGGCUGCCUCUUUCGUGUUUGGUCGAUUAUUACCACCGUCCUUUUCAGCUUUCUCGGAAGCUACGGCGGCAAGAGCGGCGGCCAGACCGGCUAACGAAACGGCGGCGUGGACUUCAGCUCUCUGUAGCCUCACUUCUUCCUUUCGUUUCGCUUUAAUCUCUUUCCACCAUUUCUUUAUCGACGGCGUAAUCUUCCAUGGAAGUUUCUACAGUUCCGUAGUUGUUUGAUUUAGAGAAACGAUAUGUUUUUUAAACUCAAAUUAAAUGCAAUAGUUAAAUAGGGUUUUACAAGUUUCUUGCGGAAGAAGCCUUCGUAGCUCAGUUCCGGGUGCAUUGCUUGUUGCAUCCAUAUCCAUGACUGUUCACAUCAUUCAACAGAAAUAUUGUCAAUAUAACAUAAUCUUUGAAGUUUCUUUCUGUUAAUCCUCUAUGUCAGUUUUAUCAUACAAAUUUGUUCAGUUUCUAUAUGUUUCCAACCAAAUAGUCGUCACUGAUCAGUCCAAAUAACACUAAACAGAAACUGUAAACAUUUUUAAAAAUAAAUGAUAUGUUGAGAAAUAUGAAUGUCCUGUAAUAAUUUUCCUAUUGUUAUAUGAAUUUUCUAGAAAGGACAUUAUAAGUUCCAACAUAAUAUGUUUACCUUGACAUCAUUUGUUUUCCAUGAAGGCAUCGAGGGCUUAAAAUCUGGAUCGUCCAUCUUCAGACUCUUAUCCAUCUUCUACUUUCACAAUAUUCUUCAUUAAUUAAACACUAACCAAAACAACUUGAAGAAAGAAUCACGUAUAAACAAAACGAUAUCUGGUUACUUACAGAACAAGAAACAGGACUUGAGUCGCCUUGAAACUUGGCGAUCGAUGUCUCUACGGGGACAAUGGAACGGUCGUAAUGGUCAGGCUGAAGCGAUUGAACCGCAAAAUUACACCAUUCUCGAGAUAGAAAGUCCAUACUGUCUGGAUGUGCCUCCGAAGGCGAUGGAUUAUUGCUCAACUGAAGAUGAUGAUCUGUUGAUGUUAAUGCUAGUUCCAUAGUGUUUAUUUUAGUUCAAAGAUUGUGACUUUGAGAAUGUUGAUUGAUCAAAUAUUUAUGUUAUUUGCUUAUUGCUAUGAAAGAAGGAAAUUAUUAGUUAGUUUAAUUUUUUUGUUUGAUGUGGGUCUGCCUUAUUAUUAGUAUUCUUUUUUAUUAAAAAAAAAGUUUGAUGAUGAACAUCAUUUCCAUGGGUGGGAAUGAUUUGGGCCAUGAUCAAAGUGAUUAUUAUUGAAACAUAUUUUCUUUCUUUAUAUCACAAAGGAUAUGGAGGGGUAGUCUCAACUUUCUGUCAAAAUGGGAAUUAGAUAACUGUAAUAAUGUCGUUUUAUCUAGUACUAAUUUUUGUUUGAUUGAUAAGCAUAAUAGUGUUAAGCCAUUCUAUUCUACACGAAAAAAUGUUGAUAGCAAAUUUAUGCAAAAUUGAGCUUUAUUCAACUAAUUUACUUUUAGUACUAGCAAAACUAAAAUGGAUUAGAAUAUUCCAUUAUUUCGUGUCAAAGCACGAAAUCCUAAUAUCGCUUAGUUUUAACUUUUAAGAAGUUGGUUUCCGAUCAAAAAUAAAUAGUAGCUGAUCAAAUAAAACAUGGAUAACCUGGAUAUACAAUUGCUUUUAUUCAGGUUAUAUAUGAAUCGAAGUUAACCAUGUAUUAUAAGAUGACAAGUCUAACUACGUCAUUAUUCAUGAUAUAUUCUAUGCUUACUUGAAAAUACUUUGUGUAUUUAUUGAAAAGGAGUAAAGAUUUGAUGUGGUGUCAGUUACGUUAACCAUUUUACCUAAUUGAAUUUAACGUAGAGGAAAUGAAUAUACAUUAGAUGCUAACUUGCGAACCAUUAUGGAACCAAAAUUAUUGACAACACUGGAUUGGACCCUCUUGCAUCUCUUUUCAUAUAUCUUUAAAUUGAAACCAUAGGUUCAACCUAAUCACAUAACAACAAUCAUAUAUUUAUAUAUAAUAUCUAGACCUCUUUGCCACUUGUCACGCUUUCAUAAGUGGUCUAUAGCUGGAGUUGAAUCCCAGAAUAUUUAUUUGAUGUAAAAAUUUGAAAAUAAGUAGUCAUAAACUUUUAUGGCUUUGUGUUUUAUCAGAUUGUCUUUGUAAUUUUGUCUGCUUUACUAGUUUAGAGUUUUGUCUCUGAAAAAUUAUUGUAUUCUGCUAGCUUAGUUUAUGGGAAUUUUUACCUAUUUCCUCCAGUUUUAUAAUCAUUCAUGUUCAAUUCUAAUGAAAUCGCUAAAUGACCCAAAAAAUAAUCUAAAUUAAACAUAUUUUAGAAAACACAGAAAUAAGCUAUAGUUAGUCUCCACUAUUGAUUUGAAAGUAGAAGAAUAAAGCUCAUAUACUGAAAGGUAAGUGAUUUAAACAAGUUAAAAUUGGGACAUUGGUUUUCAAGGCCGGCUCUGGCCGAGAAUACUUCAGAUCUAAGGAGAGAUGGAUAAUAAAAUUUUCUGGAUGAACGAAAAAAAGAAGUAUAAUGAUGAUCAUAUAUCUAAUUGAAAAUCAUAAUUAUUAAUAAGGAAACGACAUUCUAUAGAUAGAUAAGAGGGACUAAUCAUACAUAAGCAUGCAAUGGGUCUUAAGGCUCUUAGCUUUAACAAACAAGGAAAAGGGACAAUAUGUCGAUACUUUUUUUAAUCAAAGUUUUUUGUUCGGAUUCGGUUAUUUCGGAUCGGGUUCGGAUAUUUAGAUUUUAAUCAUAUAUUCAGUAAAGGUUUAGUAAUCAAUAAUCAAAAUCGCGUGUUGAUCAAAUCAAAGGCGGGUUUAAUUAAAGAGGUUAUCAUUUGAGCAUGUGAGUCUUACUUUAAAUGCCAACUGCCAAGAGAUUUGUAUGUGUGUGCCGACGGAAAGAGAGUAUGUAUUAUAAAAAUCAUAUUGACAGGUUAACAAUUAGUGACAAAUUAAGCAUAUCAAGAUGUCGUCAAUUUACCCUAAAGCAAAUUUAUUUAGGGUCAAUGAAUCUAACUGGCCGAUACAAAACCACUCGAGUACACUUGUGCCAACCUGAACAGAAUUUGUGUACCAACUAUAAAACAUCAUAACUCCAAAUCUCAAUGCUAGUUUCUUUAUAUCGAAUAUCGAGUAUGAUCGAAAUGGAUAGACCAAUAAAUUUGUUACAUCUUAAUCGAUUGGGCUUCACAUUAGGCCCGUUCUAAUGUCAUUUUGAGCUGUAUAAGAAAAACAGCAACCAUAAUAGGCCGAACAUAACCCAUUCAUUAGGCCCAUUAUAAGCCUAAUUAUUAAAGUGAGUGUAUAUAUUAAAUAAACCAACUUCAGUGGUUCCAUUAAAUGUUCAUUAGUGUUUUACCGAGUUUCGAGUUACAUUCAUUAGUGUUUUUACUGAGUUUCGAGUUACAGAAAAGACAAAAUUAUAGAAUACAAAUAAUCUCGAAGCAAGAAGUGUCGUCAAACAUUGUGCUCAUAAAACAGUUAAUCACGUGGUGGAGUCAGACGUGAAUCUUCGUAAAAUAGAUUCGGUUGUAAAAUCAUUUAUAGUAUUCUUCAUAGUUUAAGAUAACAUAAUUAAACCAUUUUUUAACUGCUACAGUAUAUUAAUGGAAAAGUUUGCAAACAUCUGGUUUCUGGUAGCGACCAACGUUUCAAUAGAUCAUGGCCAAGAUCAAUUUUGUUUGGCAGGUCUACGCCUCAAAAGUAUUGUUUACUUGGAACCGUCCCUUUGUUUGCAGGUCCUAACACAAUAUUAGGAUUCUAGUUUUCUAGAUUGAUAUCUUAUUAAUUGUUCGGGAGGUCAUCCCCACCAAUCUAUUACAUAUUGUGAAAUAAAUAAUUCUCUAUAUAUGCAUACAUAACUCAAUUAAUAUAUAAUUUAUAAUGUAUGGAUUAUAUUCAUUUGAUAAUUAAUGCCCAGUCUAGAAGUUUAUAUAUUUACAAAAUUUAAUUGUGAUGAAUACAUAUAUGUACGAGACUUUUCAUACAAAUUAUAUGUACGAAGUCUGGUUUGUUUAAAAAAAAGGAAUAUUUAAACGAGAUGUUAGAUGUAGAAUUUUCGGAUCGGUAAGUUUAAUUAUAUGACCUAAACAAUAUCCGUUAGUACUAUUGGUUUACCAUAUCUUGUAAAAUGAUUCUACAGGAUUCAAGGGCCUUCAAAAUAUUUUUGAGAUUAGCCAUAAAUUUAAACAAGUACACUUCGGAAGCUGUAGAUAGUGUUAUCCUAUUUAUGUACAUGGACUUACAUCUUAAUCAUUAGUUCAUAACUACAAGUGUGCGAAAUGCAUGCACAUAAAACAAUUACGUGUUUUACGAUAAGUCUCUGGUGACUGAAUCGAUGGCUGCAACGGUUCGCAUUACGUCCACUUGUGCUUGGAGGUAAACAAUGUAAUCAAGUGUCUCUCUUAUCAAGUAGUCUUUGUCGUAUAUCAACUCGCCUCCUGGUACUAGACUCUUGAGCAAUUCCGUACGUUUUCUCACUCUCAUUUUCGCCCCAAAAAUUCCAUUUCGUGUAAUAGUAGUACAACGAUUCUUCAUCCGGUUCCGAGCUUUCUUGAGUAUUCUAUGAGCCACGGGUUUGCAGGUUGUCGUGUACUUUCUGGUCCUAGAGAUGAGAGCACGGCUCCAUAUGGUUGCGCCGCUUCUUGUGGCUGCCAUCGCUAUGUCCGAUGAUAGUCUUAUCACGUUUUUCCUCUCGGUUACGUUCAGGGGGUGUUCAACGGAAGAAUCU
rnacentral:lncRNA from 1 species